UGUAAAAUUUUAAAGGUCGAACAGACCUAAUAUUUUUAGCUUCUACACCAAAAAUUUAUUUUAAUCCAACAUCGAGGUCGCAAUCUUUUUUUUUAAUAUGAACUUUCUAAAAAAAUUACGCUGUUAUCCCUAAGGUAAUUUUAUCUUAUAAUCAAAAAUAUUGGRUCAUAUACUCAUAAAUUAAUGUUUUAAAAUAAAAAAAGUUAAAUAAAUUUUUCAAUCACCCCAAUUAAAUUAUUUAAUAAAAUAAAUAAAUAAAUACUAAAAUAUAUUUUUUAUUAAAUAAUUAAACUCUAUAGGGUCUUCUCGUCUUUUAAUAAUAAUUAAGCUUUUUAACUUAAAAAUAAAAUUCUAAUUAAAUUUAACAGAGACAGUUAUUUUCUUAUCCAACCUUUCAUUCCAGUUUUUAAUUAAAAAACUAAUGAUUAUGCUACCUUAGCACGGUCAAAAUACCACGGCCAUUUAAAAUCUCAGUGGGCAGGUUAGACCUUAAAUUAUCAACAAAAGGAC
rnacentral:rRNA from 1 species